rnacentral:rRNA from 1 species
UAGGAGUCGGACCUGCCCAGUGAAUAUUUCAACGGCCGCGGUACUCUGACCGUGCAAAGGUAGCAUAAUCAUUUGCCUUAUAAUUGAAGGCUUGUAUGAAUGGUUUGACAAGAAUAAAGCUGUCUCUUUACAAAUAAGUAUAAUUUUAUUUACAGGUGAAGAAGCCUGUAUUAUAUUGAAAGACAAGAAGACCCUAUCGAGCUUUAAAUAAAUUAAUAAAAAGUAAAUUGUAUUUAUAUUGAGUUAGUUAUUAAAAAUUUUAGUUGGGGCGACUAAGGAACAAUCAAAGCUUCCUAAAAAAUUUUAAGUGCUUUCAAGUUGUGAUCCAAAAAUUUUGAUUAAAGGAAUUAGUUACCGUAGGGAUAACAGCAUUAUCUUUUUUAAGAGUUCAAAUCGAAAAAAAGGUUUGUGACCUCGAUGUUGGACCAGAAUAUCCUGAAGAUGCAGCCGUCUUCAAGGGUUGGUCUGUUCGACCAUUAAAAUUCUACGUGAUCUGAGUUCAGACCGGCGUGAGCCAGGUCAGUUUCUAUCUUCAAUUUUUAAUGUGGACCUAGUACGAAAGGAUUGGUCUAUAAUAAUAAUUGUUUUUCCUGAUGUAGUAUAAAAACUUAUUAAGUUAUUAGGUGGAAAAGAUCAAAUUAGCAAAGAUAAUGCAAUUGACUUAGGAUCAAUAGACAUAGGUGAAAUUCCUUUAUUUGAUAUAAAUAUAAAGGUGGCAGAUUAA